GAUGAAGAACGUAGCGAAAUGCGAUACGUAAUGUGAAUUGCAGAAUUCAGUGAAUCAUCGAGUCUUUGAACGCACAUUGCGCCCUCUGGUAUUCCGGAGGGCAUGCCUGUCCGAGCGUCAUUGCUGCCCUCAAGCACGGCUUGUGUGUUGGGCUCCGUCCCCCGAUCCCGGGGGACGGGCCCGAAAGGCAGCGGCGGCACCGCGUCCGGUCCUCGAGCGUAUGGGGCUUUGUCACCCGCUCUGUAGGCCCGGCCGGCGCUUGCCGAUCAACCAAAUUUUUAUCCAGGUUGACCUCGGAUCAGGUAGGGAUACCCGCUGAACUUAAGCAUAUCAAUAAGCGGAGA
rnacentral:misc_RNA from 1 species